rnacentral:rRNA from 1 species
GAUGAACGCUGGCGGCGUGCCUAAUACAUGCAAGUCGAGCGAACAGACGAGGAGCUUGCUCCUCUGACGUUAGCGGCGGACGGGGGAGUAACACGUGGAUAACCUACCUAUAAGACUGGGAUAACUUCGGGAAACCGGAGCUAAUACCGGAUAACAUGUUGAACUGCAUGGUUCAACAGUGAAAGACGGUCUUGCUGUCACUUAUAGAUGGAUCCGCGCCGCAUUAGCUAGUUGGUAAGGUAACGGCUUACCAAGGCAACGAUGCGUAGCCGACCUGGGAGGGUGAUCGGCCACACUGGAACUGAGACACGGUCCAGACUCCUACGGGAGGCAGCAGUAGGGAAUCUUCCGCAAUGGGCGAAAGCCUGACGGAGCAACGCCGCGUGAGUGAAGAAGGUCUUCGGAUCGUAAAACUCUGUUAUUAGGGAAGAACAAAUGUGUAAGUAACUAUGCACGUCUUGACGGUACCUAAUCAGAAAGCCACGGCUAACUACGUG